rnacentral:tRNA from 1 species
UAGAGAUGAUUAAAAAUUUCACUUACAAUGAAGAAAACUCUUAAUGAGCAUUUCUAU